CCACAGCUAACGACAUUUUCCACGUAAGUUAAAGCAGGCACCUAACUGUGCCCGCCAAUCACAGCUGCACAGGCUGACCCAAGUCCAACGCCUGCCCGCACUCUUUGGCUCCGUCUGUCUCUCUUCUGCAGGACUGUAGUUGAUCGCACCUGAAAAGCUACACAGUCCCGGCACACAGCCACCGGCAGAGAAACCAACCACUCUAAAGAGAAGGAGCUACCGCCUUCGGAUCCUGAGGACAAAGCCGCGGUCUGCUUUCCAGAUCAGGCAAUGGAAAUUCCCAGGGAUGAAAGAGACUGACUGGACAAUAAGCCUGAAGCUAAAGACUUGUUCCCUGCCUCCAGAGGAGAUUACAGUCUAACGGCGGAGAAAGGCAGCCCCAAAUUACCGUCAUUCCUCCACUGACCCAAGGAUUAUGGCUCUGACCAUUGCGAGGUUCGAUGCACAACUUUCUUCCCGCAUUGUUUCAGGUCCUACCCAGAUGAGAGGAAUGUUUCCUAAUUCAGAAAUAGCAUUCUAGCCAAAUGGUAUAGUGAAGGAUGCACAUUAAAGGAGAAUUAUCUCUAUGGAGUGGAAGCAAGAGGAAGAACGAGGAUACAACUAUUAAUAGCAAAAGAAUGGCGAAAUGAAAUAGAUUAAUAAGUGGCCUAUGCAGAGCCAGAUACACCAACCAUCAAUAAUGACUUAAAUAAGUGCUGAGGAUGGGUGUGAAUCCAAGAGAAAAAUUCAAUGAGAGGUUGCUGCGUUUUAAAUAGUAGGCAAAUCAAGAACCAGAAAAAAGCUAAGCAAUUAACUCCAGCUACAAUUUGGGCAAGAUUAUGAGUUUAAGGCUAAUGCUGAGGCAUAAUGAUAUCUAAGUGAUAAAAUCAUCGGGCCCAGGAAUGCCUCGAAGCCGAUGUGAAUUUUUUUCUGAAGUCUUUGCGCACUGUAUCUGUAUUCCCGGCUUGGGGAUGGGGGGAAGCAACCGAAACGGAAUUUCGCUUAAAAGGAAGACGACAACAAACCCAGUACUUGCUGAAAAACUAGACUCUGGACACACUCUUCCAGGGCCUACAUAGGUGACAAAAGGGUGUGUGUGGUUACCCAACUGAUCAUCUUAUCUGAUGGGAGUAAGAAGGUCAACAAACCCAAGCUUGGCAGAGAACCUCUAAAAAUCAAUGCUCGGGUGUGAACAAAAAGUAUUCUUCCACCGAGACCAAAGCCGACCAAGUGGUCUCACGCAAGAGGUUAAGGGAGGCCGGCGACACGGGGAUCCGUACAAACCGAUAGAUUUCAUUAGGCAAUGGGACGUAGUCCUUCGGGAUGAUGUUUAAAGAACCUGUUGCAGCAAGAGGUGGCGGCACCCUCUGAGGCUCAGUGAGCACAGGGCGGAGAGUCAGGCAUCUGGAUUCUGGACUUGGAUUUGCCACUCAUUCACUGUAUGGAUUUGGGCCAUUUUUACUGCGCUUUGAUAAGUAUACGGCAAUUAGCUCACCUCAUUUUGAAGGUGAGUUCACCCUCCCUCGUGGAAGGAUACUGAAAGCGAAGCAAACGAAACCAGAGUUCUGUUUUAUUUGCCUGACAACCCAAGUGGUUGUGUCCCAAGGAACAGCGGGCUAUUUUCUGGGUGGAUUUUGUUUGGCCUGGCUCCGUUUUCCCAGGAUGUAUCAUAUGAAAAAUACUUUGGUGCUACUUUCCAACAGAGGGGUUGUGAGGAAGAUUAAAACCAACAUGUAGGGAGUUUAGUUUCCCGAGCUAUGAGGUCAACGGAUAUCACCAUCACCAUCGAGGUUAAAGCUCAGGGAAAAGCGGCCAUCACAAACAACCGUGGCUCCAUGGUACAGGGGGACGGGGGAGAGAGGCAGAGAGAAGGCCGGGCUCCACUAGGAUUCAACUCCUACCUACUCAGGAUAAUGGAAGGAAGGAGAAAGGCAAAGCAAACUUCUUACGAAACAGCGGCUCAGCCCCGAGGUACUGAAAGCUAUGAGAGGAAGCAGAACACGCGCAACACAAAUUGCUGCGGCAGGAAGUCGUUGGCAGAGUUGUACACUCCUCCCCAACCGUCCUUCUGCACCUUCUUCGGAUGAACCAGAAGGACUUUACAAACGGCACAUCUCUGGAAGGCAAGGCCAGGACAGGAAAUGGUGGAUCGGAGAUUACCUGCGGCCCCCGCGGAGAGGUCAAUGGCGGCUUGGAUAGCAGGGUUGCUCUUCAUGUUUUGACUCUGGCUCACCGCACUCUACUGAAUCAGACUUGCAGCUUGCAGUGCAGACCCCUGGCAGCAAACAAAAGAUAAGGGUUGACCGACGCCUCAGCGUUCUCCAGGUCUCUGGCUACCGGCGAAAUCAAGAGGGUCAGACGGAUGGUCCGUUCGGGGUUCAUCCGGUCCUGGGGCCGAGGUGAGGAUUCGGGAAGUAGUGGGCUGGGAGGUUGGGGGCGGGGGGAGAAGAGGGAGACAAACUCCAUCUCCCGCCUCCCUCCUCCCAAUCUAGCUCCUCGCCUGAGGAGUCCUCAGACAUGCGCCUGUGCGGACACCUUGACCCGUCCCCGGUUCCUCCAUCGGUCCCCUCUGUCAGUCAGCUAAUGGAUCGUAUUUACUGAGCGCUUAAUGUGUGCAGAGCACCGUUCUAAGCGCUUGGGAGAGUACAACAUAAUAUUACAACAGACACAUUCCCUGCCACCCCGGCGACACCUCUCUCUGGCUCUCCCCACUAGCGGAGAGAGGGUUUCUUUCUCGCUUCUCUUCUGGCCAAAGCCCAGUAGGCCGACUCGGGGCGUGGCCCCCGCUCCCAGAUUCCUCACGUGGGUCACCUCCCCUUCACGGAGGCAGUUGGUCUUGGCCGGUGGCCAACGGCUGUACCAACCUGGAUCUGAGAGAUGGAAGGAUGUAGCGACCUGGAUCCGCGAAAGAGCACGGGAGGAUGUCCGGCGGGCCCCAAAAGGCCGACCGGCAAGCGGCAGAAGGAGCCGGUCGGGGAGAGGGGCAACUUGGGCUCCUAACAGGUAGUGACAGUCACUCUUUGAUUUGUCCUCUUAAAGGGACCUACCACCUGUCUCCACGCACCCACCCCUCGGGCCUCUGCGCUGGAAGUGGCGGAGAAGGAGAUUGGCUGAAAGCUCACAAGGUCACACUGGGGUGAAAGUUUCCAGGGCCACAUCCUCUCCUCCCCCAAGCUGAAUCCAAGCCAGUGCCCGAGUAUUGAUCCCAGCACUUGCCUACUGUGUGACCUAGGGCAAGCUUCGUCUUCCUCGUCCAUAAAAUGGGGACUGAGUAUCAGAACCUAAAAAACCAGCAGUAGCAUUGAGCUGCCCAAGCCGACGCAAGUUGCGAGCAUUAACAGCCUGAGCCGGGUGCUCAGAAUGGAUAAAAUCAUGGACUCAUCUACACAGAAUAAUGACGAAGAUGACCUUUCUGUUCAUCCCUCGGCUUUCAUGAAGAAAAGGGUUUAAAAAACACCCCAGAUGUCCAAGUUCAAUUAGAAGGAUUUUUGAGUUCUAGUAAAAGCAGUUUAUGGUAGCGUAGCUGAAUCACAAAUUCAGAUGUAAUGCAAUACUCACUAUUGUUUAAGAAGUGCUGAUCUGAAAAACACUAGACAAGUCAAGAUGAAUGAAUACUGUAUAUAAAGACCUUUGAUUUGAAAAAAAAAAGACUAAAUGAAAAUGUGAUUCAGAAUCAGGACCAAAGGCCUCUUAAAAUGACUUAAAAAUCAUUAAAUUCAUAUUCGGCGAUCAAUAAUUUUCCAGUGCGAAGGAAUGUAUAGUAACUUAAUUGUCAAGCAUGAGAGCAAAAAAUAGGAUAAUUUUCUACAAAGUGUGAGAUAAGGAAAAAUAUGACAAUUACCAGUGGUGUGAAUAUUUAUAAAAAAAAAAACUUUGGAGGAAAAAAGUAGCAUUUUUGUCCUCUAUUUAAAAUGAAAUUAAAAUGAAAUGGAGAGGGAUAGAAAUCAGCACUAUUGCUUCUUCUGCUAAAGCUCGGCUUAAUCGAAAGAAUUGUGGUAUUUAUAAAGUGCUUACUUUGUGCUGAGCAUGGUGCAACGAGUUAGGUUACCGACAAGGUUACCUAAAACGGUAACCCGAUUUGCUUGUAUCUACCCCAGCGCUCAGUACAGUGCCUGGCACACAGUAAGUGCUUAACACAUACCUCUAUUAUUAUUAUUACAAGACGAUCAGAUAGGACACAGUCUUUGCCUCACUUGGGCAUCACAGUCAAUGGAGGAGGAAGAACAGAUGAGGUAACUGAGGCCCAGAGAAGUGAAGUGACUUGCCC